rnacentral:rRNA from 1 species
GAUGAACGCUGGCGGCGUGCCUAAUACAUGCAAGUCGAGCGAACGGACGAGAAGCUUGCUUCUCUGAUGUUAGCGGCGGACGGGUGAGUAACACGUGGAUAACCUACCUAUAAGACUGGGAUAACUUCGGGAAACCGGAGCUAAUACCGGAUGAUAUUUUGAACCGCAUGGUUCAAAAGUGAAAGACGGUCUUGCUGUCACUUAUAGAUGGAUCCGCGCUGCAUUAGCUAGUUGGUAAGGUAACGGCUUACCAAGGCAACGAUGCAUAGCCGACCUGAGAGGGUGAUCGGCCACACUGGAACUGAGACACGGUCCAGACUCCUACGGGAGGCAGCAGUAGGGAAUCUUCCGCAAUGGGCGAAAGCCUGACGGAGCAACGCCGCGUGAGUGAUGAAGGUCUUCGGAUCGGAAAACUCUGUUAUUAGGGAAGAACAUAUGUGUAAGUAACUGUGCACAUCUUGACGGUACCUAAUCAGAAAGCCACGGCUAACUACGUG